rnacentral:rRNA from 1 species
CCUACGGGAGGCAGCAGUGGGGAAUAUUGGGCAAUGGGCGCAAGCCUGACCCAGCAACGCCGCGUGAAGGAAGAAAGCUUCGGGUUGUAAACUUCUUUUCUCAGUGACGAAGCAAGUGACGGUACCUGAGGAAUAAGCCACGGCUAACUACGUGCCAGCAGCCGCGGUAAUACGUAGGUGGCAAGCGUUAUCCGGAUUUACUGGGUGUAAAGAGCGUGUAGGCGGGGACGCAAGUCAGUUGUGAAAACCACGGGCUCAACCUGUGGACUGCAUUUGAAACUGUGUUACUUGAGUACUGGAGAGGCAGACGGAAUUCCUAGUGUAGCGGUGAAAUGCGUAGAUAUUAGGAGGAACACCAGUGGCGAAGGCGGUCUGCUGGACAGCAACUGACGCUGAGGCGCGAAAGCGUGGGGAGCAAACAGGAUUAGAUACCCUAGUAGUC